rnacentral:rRNA from 1 species
GAUGAACGCUGACAGAAUGCUUAACACAUGCAAGUCGAUGGGGAAGUGGUGCUUGCACCAUGGCAACCAUGGCGGACGGGUGAGUAACGCGUAAGGGACUUACCUGCAGGACUGGGAUAACAGGGGGAAACUCCUGACAAGACCGGAUAAUGUCAUGGAGCUGCAUGGCUUUAUGAUGAAAGGAGACGCCUGCGGAGAGCCUUGCGUCCUAUUAGCUAGUUGGUGAGGUAAUGGCUCACCAAGGCGAAGAUAGGUAGCCGGCCUGAGAGGGUGGACGGCCACAAGGGGACUGAGAUACGGCCCUUACUCCUACGGGAGGCAGCAGUGGGGAAUAUUGGAAAAUGGGGGCAACCCUGAUCCAGCAAUUCUGUGUGCACGAAGAAGGUUUUCGGAUUGUAAAGUGCUUUCAGCAGGGAAGAAGUAAGUGACGGUACCUGCAGAAGAAGCGACGGCUAAAUACGUG